AUUGAACGCUGGCGGCAUGCUUUACACAUGCAAGUCGAACGGCAGCACGGACUUCGGUCUAGUGGCGAGUGGCGAACGGGGGAGUAAUACAUCGGAACGUGCCCAGUGGUGGGGGAUCACUACUCGAAAGAGUAGCUAAUACCGCAUGAGAACUGAGGUUGAAAGCAGGGGAUCGUAAGACCUUGAGAAACUGGAGCGGCCGAUGGCGGAUUAGGUAGUUGGUGGGAUAAAAGCUUACCAAGCCGACGAUCUGUAGCUGGUCUGAGAGGACGACCAGCCACACUGGGACUGAGACACGGCCCAGACUCCUACGGGAGGCAGCAGUGGGGAAUUUUGGACAAUGGGCGAAAGCCUGAUCCAGCAAUGCCGCGUGCAGGAUGAAGGCCUUCGGGUUGUAAACUGCUUUUGUACGGAACGAAAAGCUUCGGGUUAAUACCCUGGAGUCAUGACGGUACCGUAAGAAUAAGCACCGGCUAACUACGUGCCAGCAGCCGCCGUAA
rnacentral:rRNA from 1 species